GGGAUCGCAAGACCUUGCGCUUUUGGAGCGGCCGAUCUGAUUAGCUAGUUGGUGAGGUAAAGGCUUACCAAGGCUUCGAUCAGUAGCUGGUCUGAGAGGACGACCAGCCACACUGGGACUGAGACACGGCCCAGACUCCUACGGGAGGCAGCAGUGGGGAAUUUUGGACAAUGGGGGAAACCCUGAUCCAGCCAUGCCGCGUGAGUGAAGAAGGCCUUCGGGUUGUAAAGCUCUUUCAGCCGGAACGAAACGGUCACGGCUAAUACCCGUGAUCACUGACGGUACCGGAAGAAGAAGCACCGGCUAACUACGUGCCAGCAGCCGCGGUAAUACGUAGGGUGCGAGCGUUAAUCGGAAUUACUGGGCGUAAAGCGUGCGCAGGCGGUUUUGUAAGUCAGAUGUGAAAUCCCCGGGCUCAACCUGGGAACUGCGUUUGAAACUAC
rnacentral:rRNA from 1 species